GGGGCAGAGCCAGCACAAGCAGACUGGAAUAAAGUUAGUUUUACUGGCAUUGGGGGCACUAGAUAGUAUUUUUAACACUAUAGGGUCAGAAAUACAUGUUUGUGUUCCUGGCCCCAUAGUGUUCCUUUAAGUUACAUCUGAUUGAAAAUUAAACCAUUUUGUUUCAUGCGGGCUAUGUCAGUCAAUACCAGGGGAGGUGUGGCUAGGGCUGCAUAAACAGAAACAAAAGUGAUUUAACUCCUAAAUGGCUGUGAAUUGAUCAGUGAGACUUC